GACGAACGCUGGCGGCGUGCUUAACACAUGCAAGUCGAACGGAAAGGCCCUGCUUUUGGGGGGGGUUAGAGGGGCGAACGGGUGUGUAACGCGAGUGUACCCUGCCCAAGACUGUGGGAUAACUUCAGGAAACUGGGGCUAAUACCGGAUAAGAGCUCAUGGUGCAUGGGGGGGGGUGAAGAGUUUCGGCGGUUGGGGAUGGACGCGCGGCUUAUCAGCUUGUUGGUGGGGUAGUGGCUUACCAAGGCCGUGACGGGUAGCCGGCCUGAGAGGGUGACCGGCCACACUGGGACUGAGAUACGGCCCAGACUCCUACGGGAGGCAGCAGUGGGGAAUAUUGCACAAUGGGCGGAAGCCUGAUGCAGCGACGCCGCGUGCGGGAUGACGGCCUUCGGGUUGUAAACCGCUUUCGCCUGUGACGAAGCGUAAGUGACGGUAAUGGGUAAAGAAGCACCGGCUAACUACGUG
rnacentral:rRNA from 1 species